CCUAUCGCUCUACUGGUUAACCGUGGGCUUCUAUGGCUAAGACCGCGCAUAUACCGUAUAAUCAUAUUUAUUAUGAUUGUACAGUAAUGUUUAUUAAAUACAGAACCAACGGUGCGCCUUCACUUUUUAGUGGUGGUGUCUAAAGAUAAGGUGAUUCAUAGUAACCGAACGGAUCGCAUCAUAUUAUAAUCAUUUCGGUGAUUGGCGAUAGAUCAUUCAAGUUUCUGACCUAUCAACUUUCGACGGUCGUGUAUUGGACUACCGUGGCAGUGACGGGUAACGGGGAAUUAAGGUUCAAUUCCUGACAGGGAUCCUGAAAAACGGCUACCACAUCUAAGGAACGCUCCAUGCCCGCAAAUUACCCUCUCCUGACUCACGGAGGUAAUGACAUGAAAUAACAACACUGGAAAUUGUAUUUCUAGUGAUUGCAAUGAUGGGAAUCCAAACCCCUUUCAAAGUAACAAUUGGAGGGCAAGUCUGGUGCCUUACCCCGCGGUAAUUCCUACUCCAAUACCGUAUAUCAAAGUUGUUGCAGUUGUUU
rnacentral:rRNA from 1 species